rnacentral:misc_RNA from 1 species
ACUCCGUUGGUGAACCAGCGGAGGGAUCAUUACUGAGUUACCGCUCUACAACCCUUUGUGAACAUACCUAACUGUUGCUUCGGCGGGCAGAGGUCCCUCGCGGAUCUCUCCCGGCAACGCCCUCACGGGCGGAGCGCCCGCCGGAGGAUACCAAACUCUAUUUUAACGACGUUUCUUCUGAGUGGCACAAGCAAAUAAUUAAAACUUUUAACAACGGAUCUCUUGGUUCUG